UACGUAGGGUGCGAGCGUUAAUCGGAAUUACUGGGCGUAAAGCGUGCGUAGGCGGUUCGUUAAGUCAGCUGUGAAAGCCCCGGGCUCAACCUGGGAAUUGCGGUUGAAACUGGCGAACUAGAAUCUGGCAGAGGGGGGUGGAAUUCCACGUGUAGCAGUGAAAUGCGUAGAGAUGUGGAGGAACACCGAUGGCGAAGGCAGCCCCCUGGGUCAAGACUGACGCUCAUGCACGAAAGCGUGGGGAGCAAACAGG
rnacentral:rRNA from 1 species